CACGUAGGGCGCAAGCGUUGUCCGGAAUUAUUGGGCGUAAAGAGCUCGUAGGCGGUCUGUCGCGUCUGCUGUGAAAACUCGGGGCUUAACCCCGGGCCUGCAGUGGGUACGGGCAGACUAGAGUGCGGUAGGGGAGACUGGAAUUCCUGGUGUAGCGGUGGAAUGCGCAGAUAUCAGGAGGAACACCGAUGGCGAAGGCAGAUCUCUGGGCCUUACCUGACGCUGAGGAGCGAAAGCGUGGGUAGCGAACAGG
rnacentral:rRNA from 1 species